CUACUUACCUGGCAGGGGAGAAGAUACCAUGAUCACGAAGGUGGUUUUCCCAGGGUGAGGCUUAUCCAGCACACUCCGGAAGUGCUGACCCCUGCGAAUUCCCCAAAUGUGGGAAACUCAACUGCAUAAUUUGUGGUAGUGGGGGACUGCGUUCAUGCUCUCCCCUU
rnacentral:snRNA from 1 species